UACGGGAGGCAGCAGUGGGGAAUAUUGCACAAUGGGCGAAAGCCUGAUGCAGCUAUGCCGCGUGUAUGAAGAAGGCCUUAGGGUUGUAAAGUACUUUCAUCGGGGAGGAAAAACAAAACUAAUAAUUUUAUUUCUUGACGUUACCCGAAAAAGAAGCACCGGCUAACUCCGUGCCAGCAGCCGCGGUAAUACGGAGGGUGCUAGCGUUAAUCAGAAUUACUGGGCGUAAAGAGCACGUAGGUGGUUUUUUUAAGUCAGAUGUGAAAUCCCUGGGCUUAACCUAGGAACUGCAUUUUGAAACUGAAAUACUAGAGUAUCGUAGAGGGAGGUAGAAUUCUAGGUGUAGCGGUGAAAUGCGUAGAUAUCUGGAGGAAUACCUGUGGCGAAAGCGGCCUCCUAAACGAAUACUGACACUGAGGGUGCGAAAGCGGUGGGGAGCAAACAGGGAUUAGAUACC
rnacentral:rRNA from 1 species